rnacentral:lncRNA from 1 species
CAGCACCCAAGUUUCCUUGAUUUCUUCCUGUUAGAUUCUUGAUUGUGAUGAUCUCCAAGUUAGGUGGAGGGCUUUAGACAUAAGAAAGGGUUAGAGGAAGGUGGAGGUUUUUCAAAAUUAUAAUUUUAUAGUAGAAAUUAUUAAUUAAUCUUAUUAAUUAAUAUGUAUUAACCCUAUACAAGGAUCUAAAUAUGAUAUAUAUAGCAUGCAUUUAAAUUUAAAAUUUAAACUUCUACAGUAAAUGUUUUACUGUUAUGUGUUCAGAACACAUUACCUUCAUGCAGGU